rnacentral:tRNA from 1 species
GGUAAAAUGGCUGAGUAAGUAUUAGGCUGUAAACCUAAAGACGGGGGUUAGUCCCUCUUUUACCAGUCCC